rnacentral:tRNA from 1 species
GGUUGUGCCUCAGUGGUGGAGUGCUUGCCUUGCAUGUGUGAGGCCCUGGGUUCCAUCCCCAGCACCA